rnacentral:rRNA from 1 species
GAUGAACGCUGGCGGCGUGCUUAACACAUGCAAGUCGAACGGAGUGGCGAACGGGCGAGUAACACGUGGGUGACCUGGCCUGCACUUCGGGAUAAGCCUGGGAAACUGGGUCUAAUACCGGAUAGUGUGGGAUGGGCCCGCGGCCUAUCGGCUUGUUGGUGGGGUAAUGGCCUACCAAGGCGGCGACGGGUAGCCGGCCUGAGAGGGUGGACGGCCCCAUGAGGCCUAAGAGACGGACCAGACGCCAACGUGGGGCAGCAGGGGGGAAUAUUGCGCAGUGGGCGGAAGCCUGAUGCAGCGACGCCGCGUGGGGGAGGACGGCCUUCGGGUUGUAAACUCCUGUCACCAUCUACGCGGUAGAUGGAGAAGAAGCACCGGCUAACUACGUGCCAGCCGCCGCGGUAAUUC